rnacentral:rRNA from 1 species
UCGAACGAUGAAACCGCCCUCGGGCGGACAUGAAGUGGCGAACGGGUGAGUAACACGUGACCAACCUGCCCCUUGCUCCGGGACAACCUUGGGAAACCGAGGCUAAUACCGGAUACUCCUCGCCCCCCUCCCUGGGGGGCCCCGGGGAAAGCCCAGACGGCAAGGGAUAGGGUCGCGGCCCAUUAGGUAGUAGGCGGGGUAACGGCCCACCUAGCCCGCGAUGGGUAGCCGGGUUGAGAGACCGACCGGCCACAUUGGGACUGAGAUACGGCCCAGACUCCUACGGGAGGCAGCAUG